GUAUUUCCUAGGAUGAGAUGAGAACCCAUGGUUUAGGGAAUAUACAAAAGACAACUGUGUUUGGUCAGAUUUUAAUCACUAAGUUAGGCACUAGCACAUAAAUUUAACACCCUCCCCUCAAUAUACACAUACACAACUUUUGUGUAAGUGAUGGGCUGAGGAUCAUUAAACAACCAAAGCAUUCUUAGCAGCGGACCACAAGGAGCCUAUAGUAAAUGUUGCUAUUAUUGCUGUGAUCAUCAUGUUUCACAUCUCAGUAAAGGAGCACUCUUCUAACCUGUUCAAAGCCUCUUGCUUACAGGUGUUUUCAAAGACUAGGUGAGGAGGUGAGCUUUCCUGUAUUUGCUGUUACUACUACUUGUUUUUCUUUAAUCACAAAUAUCUAGUAAGAGAGGUGUCCAACUUCUCUGUUGAAGAAGUGUCUAACUUACAAAAACCUUUAAAAUGUUUAAAGGAAAGCAAAAGUGAGUACAGGACAGGCUUGGUGACGCACGCCUUUAAUCCCAGCCCUCGGGAGGCAAAGGCUGGGGAAUCUCUGAGUUUGAGACCAGCCUGGUCUAUAGAGUGAGUUCCAGGAGAGCCAGGACUACACAGGGAGACCCUGUCUUGGAAAAACAAAACAAACAAAAAACAAUAAAAAAGUGAGUGCGGAAAUGUUUUCAUAAUACAUUAAAAUCAAGACUCAGUGAAAAGGUUUUGAUUCAGAUGCAAAUUGAAAAGCUUGAAGUGUGUGUGUUGUGGUAUGUGCCCAGAGUCCCCAGUUUCUUGGGAGGCAGAGUAACUGAGAAACACAGUAAGAACUUGUCUUAAGUAAAUAAAGCAUAAACCCAAGUUCUGGUUAGACACGUUUAGAAGUUAAUAUGUAGUACUUUUUACCUGGAUUGAGCACAUAAACCCCAAAAGGAAUCUGAUGAGUGCUCAUCAAAGACGGUUGCUCCUUGAACCCUCAGGCUCUGCACCUACAGACUCAACUAGCUGCAGGUUGAAAAGACAGCUUUGAUAGUUUUUAAAUUGUAUCCAUACUGAACACAUACAGCUUUUUAAACAUUUCCUUAAAUACAAUGUUACAACUGUUUACAUAGAAUCUACAAUUUAGUGAGUAUUCUAAGUAAUCCAGAGAUGAUCUGAUCUAUGUGGAAGGAUGUGUGUUGUUUAGGUGCCUUUUUAUAGAAGGGACUUGAGCGCUUGUCAAUUUGGGUAUCUGUGGUGAUCCUGGAACCUAAUGCCAAGGCAUAGUUGUAACCAAAACUGAUUGAGAUGACUGGAAGAUUUUUAAAUUAAAAAAAUUAUGUUUUAACCUCCUAUAUAAAAGUAUCCAUUAGUGAAGAACAAGGUUAAAAACACAUGUUAUGUUACUAAUUCAACAUAGCUUGUGUGUCUCCAGUGCAGAUGCUCAAAGUUUUCACUAAUCCUGAAUCACUGAAACAUUUGCAUGAUUGUUUCCCAAGACACAAUACCUACAAUUAAUUUAUUACCUUUAAUUUUGUAAUUCCACAUUUAAGAUAAAUUAAAUUUUGAAUUCCUUGGAACUGCUCACAUAAAACAAAGCUUAGGAGCACAAUUAUUUAAAUACCAAGACUAUAGCUAUGUGAUACUAAGAAAAAAACCGCUCAGGUACCACAAGGAGCUGACAUCUUGAGUACAAAUGCUCUGAUUGCUGAAAGUACAGGGUGAAAAUGAAGAUAAAAGGAAGAACGGUGACAUUGCUUGAUGCUUCUGCUUUCACAAUGGUAACUUCCAAUCAAUGAAGAUCAAUAUGGCAAUUUACAGGACUUCAGCUUCUAAUUUCUGCUCGAUAAUUCUUUUGUUUUCAAAGUUAACGUAUAUAAAAGCAGAACAGAGCUUAAAAUUGUAAGUACUAAAUUUCAGCAUCAUGCUAGUUAUUAAGAAGUGUUAUAAUAGCUUUGAACACCUACAAGGUACAAGGGAUAUGCCAUGGGUUCUCUAGUGCAUUUACAGUUGUAUAAGGUCAAAGUUGUGUUAUUUAUAACUGAGAAAGAGGCUAAGUGUGGUGGCACACACCUUUGACCCUAGCACUGGAGAGACAGAGGCAAGUGGAUCUCUGUGAGCUCAAGGCCAGUCUGAUCUACACAGUGAGUUCCAGAACAGCUAGAGCUACAUAAUAGAGAUACCUUCUCAAAAAAUGAACAAAUGAAACAAAACAAAAAACCCAAACUAACAAGAGAAGAGAGGCGGGCUUCCAAAGCCAGUCUUCUUAGUGCUGGAUUGGUAUUAGCUCUUCCACUCACAAAUAUGUAACCUUGAGCAAGUUACCUAGUUUCCCAGGAUGUCAGCUUUCUAGUCUGUAAAAUGGAGAUAAAGCCAGGCUUCUGAAGACUACAGGAAAAGAUCCUUUGAAAGCACUUGGUAUCAAGCUUAAAUGCUGUAAGUGACUUGCAGCAGACUGAGCAAUUCAGUUGACUCCUUAUCAAAUGACAUUUGCUACCAAAUGAAAGAGGAUGGAGAGCCAUGCAGUCCCUGGCAUUUCUACCCAUCAAAAGCCCCAAUAUUUUCUAGAAAGAGUCAGGUGUUCUCCACAGCUGUUUUAGGUCUCCUAAUUACUAGUUUGAAGGAGUCACCAAUGAAAGCAAAAUGGAAAGUUCGGAGAGUAAGAAAGUGUGUCUGCUAUUCAAAUGUUGGCAAGGUUUUUAAAGUAGUCCUUAUACAAAGAACAUUGUUUGUGAACAAUACAAUAGGAAUCCAGAUACUUUUUCCUGUCAGGAAAGAAACGAUGACCUUGUUUCUAAAUAUUGCACCCUCCAUACCCACUCCCAAACUAUAAAGAAAAUGACCCAUACAACUCAUACACAUUUAAUAUAUUGUUACAGUAUGCUAGUGUGUCCUAUACAAAAUCAGUACUUCAAGUACUUCAGUACCUAUCUAUACCUUAAAUGAUACAUAUUUUAAUAAGGUUUGAAUAAAGAGGCUGCAAUUCUCCAGGCAGUUCCUGAGUGCUUACUACCUGUUAGGCACUCUACUAGGCAUCAGGGUAAAAAAGAAAAAAAAAAAAAAACCAGUAAUUUCAUAGAAUACAGGAAAAAAUGACAAGCAUUUAUCAAAAUGCCUAUAUUAAAAGCUGCCCAUACCAAUCAGAACAAAUGCAGCUUAGAAAAUGACUGGACAGGGGGCUCAGCAGUGAAAGCACUGACUCUUACAGAGGACCUGGGUUCAAUUCCCAGCACCCACAUGGAAGCUCAAGGUCAGGUGAUCGUAUGCCCUCUUUUGGCUUCUGUGAGCACCAGGCUCAAAUAUGUAUAUACGUAGAAAUAUAUCUUUUUUUCUUUAAGGAAAAAAAUGAUGCCCAAUUCUUACCAUUUCAUCUCUUCAAAGAUGCAUGAAGAACAAAAAGUCGGGCUCUUCACUAUCCAAACGAGGGGCAUCCCUGGAGGUGCUGGGCUAAUGAGGUCUCUUUACCAGAAGAUUCUUUUCCCAGUAUAUUUACCCAGGACAUGAUUCAUUAAAGGUGUCACAAUGCAUAAUAAAACAGAAGCAGAAGUUCAUCUGCCCACCUUUUAUAUAUAGUGUAUUGUAAAAAAGAGUCUGAGACUGCCAGAACAUCCUAAAACUGUUAAAUGUGUUGCUCUGAUUGGUUAAGAAAACUUCAGCUACAAAUGGCGCCCAACGGGUUGGCAAGAGUUUCCACCUAAAACCUGAGAAAGAAGAUUCCAAAACGGAGCUAAAAACAGCUUCCUAGUUGUCUCUCUCAAGUUAGCGGCAGCCUGCGGGUUUGAGCUACUCUAUGGCGGGUUCCUGGCAUGCAAGCUUGACUGGCAGUAUGGAGGGAAUGAGGUGUCUACAAGCGGCACAUUGUGCUGCGUGGUGGAUUUAGUCUUUGCUAGCUGGUGGUAAAUGUACCACCACCAUGUUGGGAAGCUGAAGUGGGCAGAGCCACUAGCCAAAGCUGCUAUUUUAGCCCUAGAAAUGCUUCAGUUUAAAACAAUAGAUUCACACUAAGACAGAUUCAGAUGGAACAAAACUUUAAAUGCUUUACAAUGUGUGUAAAAAUGUAUGUAGGCUUGGAAGAGAGAAAAAGGAAUAUAUACAGUUAUAUAAAGAAAUAGAUAGUUUUUAAAAAUAAAGUCUUUAAAGAGACAGUAAAGGUAGUAUAAAAAUAAGCCACAUAAAGAUGGAUAUUACACAGAGAAUCUGGAUUGUGUUGUCUUUGGGAUUUUUAACUGCAGAAAAACAUUUGAUCAUAAAAGCUGUUGAGUUAAGCCAAUAUGUAUAUUUUAAAGGUACCUUGACUUCAAAAUUUAGAUCUCAGGAUAUGUUUCUUUGGAAAGGAGGCUCUGCUUUUGUUUCCACAGAAAGCCAGAGGCUAUGGAUUUGUUCCAGAUUAAGAUACAUCAGGUUUGACCAGCCAAGACCCCCUGAAAGGUCUCCGAUGACACCGUGGCCCAGAUGAUCCAACAUCCAGAACAGUUUCAAGGCAACUGGCUCAGACAAUACAGCCUCACAGACUACUCCAUAAUGCUAAAAAUUUCUUUCUGUCCCCAUAAGGCACAGCGCCCCCCUCCAGCAGGAAGUAGUAAAAGAAGCUACGCCCAAAUUCCCAAAUAUACCAAGCUGGCUUUGGAGAUGGAAUUGGCUCACUCCUUCUCUAAACCCAAAUAUAUUGCUUAAAAAAAAAAGGAUGAGAAAUUCUUUUGUCCCAUAUCAGAAGAGCCCUCUGGUAUGGGACAGAGAAAAACCAAUAUUUUUAUUUAAAUCAGAUUGAUUAUAAAUGUGAUCUCUUUCUAAAGAAGAAAAGGGGAUAUGAUGUAGAUAUGAUAGGAUGAAAGGAUAGAUUAUUGAAUCUACUUUUAAAAAGCAACUUGUUUAAAAUGUUUUACAUUGCUAUGGAUUUUAGUUUAUUGAUACAAGUUUAAACUUAAUUUUAUUAUACUGUAUAUAUAUUUCUAUUCUCGUUUGAGGUAAUAUGUUUAUGUAACUCAUUUAGAUUGUAAUGGAUAAUUAAGAAAUACAGAUUAAUAAUUAGUCAUAUAUGAUAGUCAAACUAAUAGUCAUGUUGUUUUCUAGGUAUACAUAGAUAUAAUUCAAUUAGAUAGGUAAUCUUCAAACACUUCAAAGACCUACAGAAUACGGCAUUUAAAAUGUUUUAAAAAUUUACACUUUCUGGACAAUGAGACAUGUCUGCUCCUGGCAGCACUGAUUUACUUCAGAGAAGGAGGAUGGGCAUCAAAGACACUGCAUAUGGAAUUUAUCUUCACUUUGGCAAAAAUAGCCAUUUGGGCAAGAAACUGUUCUUGCCUGGACUGCUUGAUCAACUGGACAUGCAGGACCCAUAGGAAGGUAACCACUGAACUUUGCUUGGUGAAAUGGUCCUUAAGGUUCCUGCUUCGCAGAGAAAACUGCCAGACAUUCUACAGGACACAGAGGAAAGUGACUGAGAGACGCUAGGCCUGUGGGCUGAAGACAGAUGCCCCAACUUUACAAAGGAACUUUGGAUGACUGUCCAGGCUGCCAGCUGUCUCGGUCUACUCUCGCAAGACUCCCGAAAGUUGCUUGCGUCCAUCUCCCAUUUCUCAGAGAACAAGCCUUCCUCACAAAACAUGAGCAUUUUCCAAAUGGCUUCUGUGACACUGGCAGCAGAGCAGCAAUCAUAAAUGUGCCAGAUUCCGACACAAGUGUUUCUUGGAGAGAACCAGAUACCUUGGAUUCCACUGAAACCAACAUUUAAAUUUGGAAAAUUUCACAAAAAAAAUAUGAUUGAAAUGGUUCUGCAGAAUCGUCACAACAGCUAAGGCCUGGAGGGAGUGCCUGUCCUGGAGCUCAUCUCUGACACUGCCUGCCUCAGGGGCAGGAAGGGACACAGUGUCUACACCAGUGCUUCUCAACCUUCCUAAUGCUGCUGCUGCUGCGACCCUUUAAUACAGUUCUUCAUGUUGAGGUCCUCAUGAAGCACAGGGCAGCCUCAAACUCACCAUGCUGUCAAAGAUGCCCUUGCAUUUCUGAUAUCACUGCUUCCACUUCACACAUGCUGGGAUUACAGGCAUCGGCCAUCAUGACCCAGCUCCUUGUCCUCUUUCUAACAGAGGUCUGGAACAUUUACUUUUCAACUUUCUGUUGUUGAUUUUACAAAUAAAAGUGCAGCAUGUGAUACUGAAGUCCAACAGAAAGAAGUGAAAAGAUAACCAAGACAAGAAUUUUAACGCAAUGUGCAGAAUAUCCCCUGCCCACACAGGUGAGAGCGAAUGAGGACACGCCUGCACAGAAAGCAGUGGAGAUGUCUCUAGGCAUGGAGGCGGUCGGUCGGUCGGGGAGGCAAGCCUCAGCUCUGCACUUAGUAAGACGGCCUGUGUAGACAACAGUCCAGGUGACUCUAGACUUAGGAAACAGGGUAACAAACUUACACUUAAAGGGACUUCAUAUAGUAUUUAUAUUUAAACAAUAAACAUUUAUAAUCAGACUCUUCCAAAAGCUACUUUAUAAAAGGAGAAACUAAAUUUGAGGCUUUGGGGAUGAUCACAAAGCUCUGCCGAGGGAACAGCAAUAGCAUGGUUUCAUAACAUGAGAAGCCUUUUUCUGCCCUGAAACACAGCUUUUAACUUGUACUGUUCCCAAAGACCAUUUUUUCUUCAGUUUCUCAUCCCUUGUGCCGCAAUGCUUUCCAGCGGCGGAACUGGCUGAAGGCCGCAGCCCAGCGGUCAGUGUCCUUCACUACUCAACUCAGCCUUUCCCACCUCCUUACCCCAUUCCCUUUUACAAACUCUAUUCAGUGGGGCCAACUAUAUCCAGGAUAUAAACUAUUCAUCCAUGAAAGAUUUUGUAAAUACCAUUGUCUUUUUAUUUCUUUAUACAUUUUUAGUUUUUUUCCUGUGUCUUUAUGUGUAUGUGUGGUGUACACAGGUCUGUGGCCUUGAAGGCCACAGGCUGAUGUUAGGUGUCUUAUUCCAUCACUGUCCACUCUGGUGUUUUCAGAUAUGGUUUCUCACUAAUCAUGGACUCACCAUUCAGCUAAGACUUCCUAGUCAGCAAAGCCUGGAAUCUGCCUGUCUAUAUACCCCAGCACUAGAGCGUAGGCACACAGUGCUUUACCUGGCUUUCUGCAUGUUUGCUGGGGAUCCUAACUGAGGUCCUUGCUUUACAACUGGCCCACCUCCCCAAUCCUACUAUCAUCUUUUAUUCAUUCAUUCAUUCAUUCAUUCAUUCAUUCAUUCAUUCAUUCCUUUAUUUAUUUAUUUAGGAUUGUGGUAAAACUCACCAUUUUAACCAUUUUAAAAUGUACAAUUUAGGGGCUGGAGAGAUGUCUCAGCAGUCAAGAGCACUGACUGCUCUUCCAGAGGACUCAGGUUCUAUUCCCCGCACCCAUGUGGCAGCUCAAAACUGUAACUCCAGGAUCCAACACCCUCACACAGACAUACAUACAGGCAAAACACCAAUAAAAUAAAAAUAAAUAAAAAUUUAAAAGUAUAAUUUAAGGCAUUUUAUGAUAUCACAGUGUGGUGCAACCCACAUCAUGAUGUUCCACAAUAUUUAGCAGCCACAAGGAAACCCCGAGCCCAUUAAGACAUUCCAAGCUCCCUGCCCUGUCUCUGCGAUGUGCCUAUUAAGAUAUCUCAUGUAAGAAUAUACAGUGUUUAGUUCUGGCUUUCUUCAUCUAGCACAACUUUUCAAGCUAUCAGUGUUGGAGUAUGUGUCAGUAUUUUGUCCCUCUUGGGACUAAAUAAUACAGUAGUUCCCUCUGGUCCAUAGUUUCACUUUCUAUGGAUUCAAUUACUAGUGGACAACCUCUGUCUGCAAAUAAAUAAACAAACAAACAAACAAACAAAUAAAUAAAUAAAUAUAAAAUAAAUGGAAAUAAACAACUUACAAGUUUUAAAUUGUGUACUAUUCUGAGGGAUGUGGUGAAAUGCCCACUCAUCCCUCAACAGCAUGCCCAGGGUGAGAAUCACCCCUUCAUUCAAUGGAUCCACAUUGUAUAUACUAUUUGCCUGCUAGUUCUACAACUGAGGUAUCGAGCUAUUGUGCACAGCAGAAUUUCACAACAUAAUUUAGUCUGACUCCAAUAAUUUUCUUUUCUUAGAUAAGUCAUUACUGUUUUACAAAUCACUGAGGAAUGCCUUAUGGCCUAGAUUUUAUCCCUUAUCAUUUUUGGAGGUUUAGCAACCCCGCUGUCCUUUGCCUAAGCCACUACAGUAGCCUCUGUAUAACCAGAGUCACUGUUUUUACCUUGCCGUUUGUAGCCUAUCUUACUAGACUGCAGUAGCCCCAGUGAUUCUAUUGACAGAGAACUGAUAUCUGUCCUGUACUUCUCUUGGAAUAACAGCUGAAGCCCAUCUAAGGGCAUGACUCUUCUGUUACCUGCCUGCCUUCCUGCACUCCCACUCUCUCCCAAGCACUCACUCACUCGGAGCUGCCUCUUCUGUCGUCCUACACUGUCUAUGCAUCUUCUGCCUUCAUUCUUCAUUAGCUGCAUCAUCCCCUCAGAGAGCUCACCAGCUUACCCUUUCAGCAUUAAUGGCAAGUGUCACUGCAGCUGAAGUCAGGCCCCACCUCUUACAAUGCCCAACAGCCUCCUAAUCCUGCCGUACUCUUUAUUCUUUCUAAAUAGCCAUCAUUUAACACAAGAAAUACUGUAUUUACUUAUGUUUGCUGUUUGCUAUCAUUUCCCUUCCACUGAAAGGUAUAGUAUGGCCAUUAUAGAAACAAGAUAAGAGGGUCCUCAAAAACAUUUAGAAACAAAAUUACCACAUUCCUCAGCAAGAUUAAAACCCAGCAAGGAAACACCAAAGCUUGCACUCCCUGUCCAGCAUCUGGGGUGAUGGAACCAGGUGGGUAGCCCUCCCCUGCAGCUACAUCCUGGAGUCUCCACUGAAAUGUGGUCUUUAUCUUCAAAGCUUCAUGCAGUAGACUCCCAGGGUCUUCUUGCAAGAGAUUCCAUUGGGCCACGUAUUGCCAGCUCUCAGCAUCUCUCAGAAAUUAUGGUACUGGGACUCCAUGACCCUCUCAAAUCUUGUCUCUUCCAUGAGUGCAUAACCAGUACCACAUGAAUGACACUGCAAAGUUCUGCUGCCAGUUUAGGACAGAGCCUGGCCACACUGAACCAGAAUUGCAUCAGCCUUCAUGUGCUAACCCUGGGAAGACACUUCCCCUGAGGGUUGUUUUCAAAUAAAAAACCCUUUCUACAGCAUUCUCAGUCGGGAGGUCUCCUUCAAAUGAAUUUGCAUUUUCACAAGAUGGAUCCUUCAUUGAAUAGUCCUGCCCUCAAGGCACCUUUCCUAUUAUUACAGUGCAGCAUUGUUUUUAAUCGUACUAAUCUCUUUAAUGACUACAACUCUUUUCAAACUGCCUGGUCCAUUCACUGUAAACUGGCCCCCACUGUUUUUCUUGCCAAACUGCAGAGUUUUCAUCAUUCUGUUCCACCUGUUGCUCUCCCUCAUUGUAAAUCUAGACUGAGUACUGAGCACAGUCUGAAUGUUAUUCUAUCUUGAAAUUUCCUCUGUCAAACAAAUUAUUCCAUUAUUUUUCAAGUCAGCCUCAUACAAGUGUUUAGAACACAAGCAUAAUGAAGUCAGAUUCUUUGCCAUAAUAUAAAAUGAACGUCUCUCACUCAGAUCCAUCCGGGGUCCUCAUUCCUUUCUGAAACCUCACAAACCGUGCUGCCACUGUCUGCAUUCUGGUAUUCCAAGCUCCCACCAAAGUGGCCCAUUGAUCUCUGCCACAUCGUUUUAGGAAUGAUGAAAGGACGGGCUUUUGUUUUGUUUUGUCUCCCAGCUUCUAGUUUCAGGGGUAAAGAAGCAGAGAGAGAUGAAUCUCUGCAGCGAGCUUCUUUGCUCCUUUAGGCUCAGUCUAGGACCCAGCCCUCGGGAUGAUGCUGCAUACACUGUGGAUGGGUCUUCACACUCAUUUAACCCAGAUACAGAGUCUCCCUCACAGCCAUGCCCAGAGGUUUAUCUACUCAUUGAUUCUGGAUCCUGUCAAAAUGGGAAUGUUAACCACCACAUAUGUAGUGAAUUAACACGGGGAUAGAAGGGAGUAAGUCACAGUAAAUAUCUCACUUAUUUCUGGAACCUAAAGAAUGCUGAACUCAACAAACGAUGGUGAUUUUCAGACACUUGAAGUUAGGAGUAAUGUAGAUUACAGAAUACAAAAUCUUGGCUAAAUGAGAAUAAGUUCAAGAAAAUGAUUCUAUAAUGUAAGGAUUAUAAUUGAUAUAUACCUGAAAUGUAUUUACUCAUUUCAUUGUAUGUAAUUCAAAGCAAUAUACAGUGUAUAAAAAUACAUGUAACUUUUAUUUAUUGGUUAAAAUGUGAAUUCAAUUUA